rnacentral:rRNA from 1 species
GACGAACGCUGGCGGCGUGCCUAAUACAUGCAAGUAGAACGCUGAAGGAGGAGCUUGUUUCUCUGGAUGAGUUGCGAACGGGUGAGUAACGCGUAGGUAACCUGCCUGGUAGCGGGGGAUAACUAUUGGAAACGAUAGCUAAUACCGCAUAAGAGUAGAUGUUGCAUGACAUUUGCUUAAAGGGUGCAAUUGCAUCACUACCAGAUGGACCUGCGUUGUAUUAGCUAGUUGGUGAGGUAACGGCUCACCAAGGCAACGAUACAUAGCCGACCUGAGAGGGUGAUCGGCCACACUGGGACUGAGACACGGCCCAGACUCCUACGGGAGGCAGCAGUAGGGAAUCUUCGGCAAUGGACGGAAGUCUGACCGAGCAACGCCGCGUGAGUGAAGAAGGUUUUCGGAUCGUAAAGCUCUGUUGUAAGAGAAGAACGAGUGUGAGAGUGGAAAGUUCACACUGUGACGGUAUCUUACCGGAAAGGGACGGCUAACUACGUGC